rnacentral:rRNA from 1 species
GUAGUCUCGCACAGAUGCAUAUCAAUAAGCGGAGGAAAAGAAACUAACAAGGAUUCCCCUAGUAACGGCGAGUGAAGCGGGAAGAGCUCAAAUUUGAAAUCUUAAAGGGUUUCCCUUUACGAAUUGUAGUUUAAAGAAGUGUUUUCUGUUGAGGUUUUGGUAAAAGUUCUUUGGAAUAGGACAUCAUAGAGGGUGAGAAUCCCGUAUUUGACCUUUACUUUCAACUUUGUGAUACACUUUCAAAGAGUCGGAUUGUUGGGAAUGCAGUCCAAAAUGGGUGGUAAAUUUCAUCUAAAGCUAAAUAUUGGCGGAGAGACCGAUAGCGAACGAAGUACCGUGAGGGAAAGAUGAAAAGAACUUUGAAAAGAGAGUUAAACAGUACGUGAAAUUGUCAAAAGGGAAGCGUUUGACACCAGUGUUGUUUUUCUGAAAAUCAACUUAAAGAACUGUUUAUGCUAAGUUGUUUAGACUUUAUCAGCUAUCUGCUUAGUUUUGAGCUUUUCUUUAAUGCACUUUUCAGUUAACAAGUCAACAUCAAUUUCUUUUGCUGUAAAAAAGCUUGAGGAAGGUGGCUUGAGAUUCGUCUUAAGUGUUUAUAGCCUCUUGCCUAUGCAGUCGGAGAGAUUGAGGUCUGCAGCGUAGAUCCUUCGGGGCUAAAUGCAUUUGUGCUAAGUUAUAAGCAUUUUAUAGACAACUUGUUGACUAUGAUUUGUCUUGUAGCUUACUCGCUUAUGUUAUUUUACCUACGCUUAGGAUGUUGACGCAUGAGAUAUACGC